AUCUUCUCUAUAUUUAUUACCACCUUCAAGCUCAAUUAUCUUCUUAACAUGCACUGGAAUCUGUUCAAUCCAUGCCUGUAUAUUCAACUGUGACAGCUCCUUCCAUGUCUUCUCCCACAUCUUAACAGCCUCUGCUUGUGAUUUUGGAGCACCCUUCUGUGUUGUUUUUCUCUUCAUCCGGGGCCAGGCAGCUUCAAUUGCAUUCAAAUCUGAUGAGCUUCCACAUCAGAGCAGCUGUUGAAUGUCAUGAGCUUUAUAGAUAUAAGUUCAGAGCCACUAUCACAGCACAGGUUUAGAUAUCUGUAUUGAGAGCCAUAUUGAAAAUAAA
rnacentral:sRNA from 2 species